GUGAUGAUAGCACAGUCAGUAGAGCAUGAGACUCUUCAUCUCAGGGCUGUGGGUUUGAGAGCCACGUUGCACA